UACGGAGGAUGCAAGCGUUAUCCGGAAUGAUUGGGCGUAAAGCGUGCGCAGGCGGUUAUUUAAGUCAGGUGUGAAAGCCCUGGGCUUAACCUAGGAAUUGCGCUUGAGACUGGAUAGCUUGGAGUGCGGCAGAGGGAGGUGGAAUUCCACGUGUAGCAGUGAAAUGCGUAGAGAUGUGGAGGAACACCGAUGGCGAAGGCAGCCUCCUGGGCCAGCACUGACGCUCAUGCACGAAAGCGUGGGGAGCAAACAGG
rnacentral:rRNA from 1 species